UAGGAUACAACUCAAUGGCAAUUAAUCCAUACCAAAACCAAAAAAUUGAAACCACGAACAUGACAUAAACAGAGUUGGAGAGAAAUGACUCAGAUUUACCGACACCGCUUAGUCAAUGAUGCUGCUCCAAAUCGUUGAGGUAGAGCUCCUUUAUUUCAUACACGUCCUUGCUGCAAAGAAAAAGCCUAUUGCUGGGUUUCGACUGGAACAUGCGAAAUCCGAACCAUCACG
rnacentral:lncRNA from 1 species